rnacentral:lncRNA from 1 species
AAGCGUUUUUGGGACAGACGAGUCAUUUCAGCACUUCCAGUUCAGAGCCCACGGGCCGGACACGGAGGGCAGCCUCUCCCCGGGCAGACAGGCUGGCAGCGAGGAAGCGGAGCCGGAGCAAUCCCCCGGCCUGAGUGAGAGGAAGAUGAAGGUCCUGCUGACGCUGGCGGUGCUGUUUGCCUGCAGUGUGUUCACCGCUCACGGGAAGCUCCCACGCAUGUUCACACCAGGACUCGAAGGAAGCACCGUAGGAAAUCUGACCGCCUACGGCUGUUACUCGGGAUGGGGCGGCAGCGGCACAUCGAGGGCUUCAGUGGACCGGUGCUGCUUGCUCCGUGCCUGCUGCUACGCCAAGCUGGCUGCACGGCGGUGCCGCGUGGGACCCAUCCAGCCCCUCAUGGUGCCCCGGGCAAGAGUCCCCCCCACCUGCCGCUCCGGGACUUGGUGCCAGAGAGGCGCCUGCAGAUGCGAGCAGGCAGCCUGGCUCUGCCGGAUGCGCGGCCGGGGGCUGCUCCGGCGUCGCGGCAAGUGCCGGGGACGAGGCGGGCGGUGUUGAAGCAAAAAGCUUCUUCGCAAAACCACCUCCAGGCUGAUAAGUAAAGGGACGGUGCGGCGCCAGGAGCGUUUUCCCAACCCUGGCGGGUCUCCUCCUCGGGGCUUUUUGGCUUUGACACGAGGACAACAACGCUCUAGUGAAGUUGCGUCAUUAUACACUGGAUCCGAGGAGGGAGAGCAGCGCAGAUGCAAUGUUUCAGCACAGAAAAACAAGGGAGGGGUGGACACCUGCGCUUCGUCGCUGCGAAGGGCGAGAUGGAAACCAGCGCGAGCCUCUGCGCUGACACUCGUUUCCCCUUGGCUCGAGCUCCCCGUGCAGCCUGUCAGCUCCCUCUGCUUUUUGCUUCACCGCAAAUUCUUUUCCGUUGCUCCAAAAUAAAACCGGAGAGCACAAAACAUCGGUCCUCAGUGUGAUGUGACUCAGCUGAGCCCAGCGACCACCCCUUGCAGGCAGCGGAGAGAAGCUAUUCUCUUAGCUAGGUUUCCCAUUGAAUUACCCAGAAAAAAAUGACACCUGA